rnacentral:ncRNA from 1 species
GGCGCGGGUAGAAGCGGCCAGGGCCCUCUCAGAGGUGCCCGGGGCAUUGCUCCACGA